rnacentral:rRNA from 1 species
UCUGCAACCCGACUCCAUGAAGCUGGAUUCGCUAGUAAUAGCGCAUCAGCCACGGCGCGGUGAAUACGUUCCCGGGCCUUGUACACACCGCCCGUCAAGCCAUGGAAGCCGGGAGUGCCUGAAGUGCGUGACCGCAAGGAGCGUCCUAAGGCAAUACCGGUGACUGGGGCUAAGUCGUAACAAGGUAGC